CUACAGUGGUUGGUGCCUGGAACCAAUGUUUUAGCUCGUCUUCCCAACACGAAAAGUUCACUAUUUUCCAAUUAUAAUUGGAAAACCAAUUACUCGCAUGAAAAUCUGUCACGGUCUGUCCGCCACGCCCCCUUCACCCUCGCAGCUGGGCUGCGUCAGGUGGUUAGUGGAGCCUUUAAGUUGACUGAACACUGUUCACCUGUUGCCAGCUUGUCUUCGCUGUUGGUUCAUGCUAGUCUCUCGAGCUAUUCGCCUGUCUCCUGUUCCCGGUUUACCGAUCCUGCCUGUUCCCGACUACGUUCCCCGCCUCGUCCUACUGGAUCCUCGUUCGCCUGUCUCCUGUCCCGGCUUCCCGACCCUGCCUGUCCCCGACUACGUUCCCCGUCUCGUCCUACUGGACCCUCGUUCGCCUGUCUCCUGUCCCGGCUUCCCGACCCUGCCUGUCCCCGACUACGCUCCCCGUCUCGUCCCUCUGGAUCCUCGUUCGCCUGUCUGCUGCCCCGGUUUCCCGAUCCUGCCUGCCCCCGACUACGUUCUUCGCCCCGGUUUCCCGAUCCUGCCUGCCCCCGACUACGUUCUUCGCCCCGUCCCCGUUGAUUUGCUUGACGAAGUAAAGAUCGGGUUAUCAUUGUGUUUGCUGGUCUCUGAGUCGUGCUUUUGGGUUCAAAUCUGCCAGUCUCUUCAGUGGAGCGUGACAAAAUCCCUACCUCCAGGCAUAUGAUUGGUCAAUAGAAUUAGAAUACGAAAAAAAUUGUGAGACCCGGUCAAACCAGAUUUGAGCUGGUCUGCUGUCAGACUAGUUCAAAUCUUUAAAAGGCUUUAGACAUCAGUCUGAAGUCGUGUUCGUGAGACUUGUUGUGUGACCACCACAAACCCUUUAGAUUUGUUCCCUUUCCUUCCUUCUCAAGAUAGAAAAUAACUUUAAAAGCCUUUCUAAACCCACGCUCCUACACUUGUGUUGAGUAUCAAUAGAGAAAUAUCAGUCUGCAAUCACAGUUCCUUCCAAACAAAUUGCACCUCCUUUAAAAUCAGAAUAUCUUUUUGCACGCAUUGUUUAAUGACAAAUCAAUUAAUGUGAAUUGAGGCUUCUUUUCCUGUCGGAAUUUAGGGUUCCUCAAACGAUGCCUUUGUGGUUUGACAUGGUGCCUCCCCAUGGGUGGGGCUUUGUGUGAUGUUGAGAGGGUAGUAAGGGGAGUUGGGGGCUAUUAAUCAAGUUUAAUGAUGCGGGGAGUGAUCGCUUUAUGCCUUCAUGUCAGCAGGAGAUGGUAGUUUACUAUUUAGCAUGACUGCUUAAGCUCCCAGAGAAUGUUUAAUAGGAA
rnacentral:lncRNA from 1 species